GCAAGUCGAGCGGUAGCAGGCCUUCGGGUGCUGACGAGCGGCGGACGGGUGAGGAAUGCAUAGGAAUCUGCCUAUUAGUGGGGGAUAACACGGGGAAACUCGUGCUAAUACCGCAUACGUCCUACGGGAGAAAGCGGGGGAUCUUUGGACCUCGCGCUAAUAGAUGAGCCUAUGCCGGAUUAGCUAGUUGGUAGGGUAAAGGCCUACCAAGGCGACGAUCCGUAGCUGGUCUGAGAGGAUGAUCAGCCACACUGGGACUGAGACACGGCCCAGGCUCCUACGGGAGGCAGCAGUGGGGAAUAUUGGACAAUGGGCGCAAGCCUGAUCCAGCCAUGCCGCGUGUGUGAAGAAGGCCUUCGGGUUGUAAAGCACUUUAAGUGGGGAGGAAGGUUAGUGGUUUAAUACGCUACUAAAUUGACGUUACCCACAGAAUAAGCACCGGCUAACUCUGUGCCAGCAGCCGCGGUAAUACAGAGGGUGCAAGCGUUAAUCGGAAUUACUGGGCGUAAAGCGCGCGUAGGUGGUUUUGUAAGUUGAAUGUGAAAUCCCCGGGCUUAACCUGGGAAUGGCAUCCAAAACUGCACGACUAGAGUAUGGGAGAGGGAGGUAGAAUUCCAGGUGUAGCGGUGAAAUGCGUAGAGAUCUGGAGGAAUACCGGUGGCGAAGGCGGCCUCCUGGCCUAAUACUGACACUGAGGUGCGAAAGCGUGGGUAGCAAACAGGAUUAGAUACCCUGGUAGUCCACGCCGUAAACGAUGAGAACUAGCCGUUGGUCUCCUUGAGAGGUUAGUGGCGCAGCUAACGCGAUAAGUUCUCCGCCUGGGGAGUACGGCCGCAAGGUUAAAACUCAAAUGAAUUGACGGGGGCCCGCACAAGCGGUGGAGCAUGUGGUUUAAUUCGACGCAACGCGAAGAACCUUACCUGGUCUUGACAUCCACGGAAUCCUGCAGAGAUGUGGGAGUGCCUUCGGGAACCGUGAGACAGGUGCUGCAUGGCUGUCGUCAGCUCGUGUUGUGAAAUGUUGGGUUAAGUCCCGUAACGAGCGCAACCCUUGUCCUUAGUUGCCAGCGAGUAAUGUCGGGAACUCUAAGGAGACUGCCGGUGACAAACCGGAGGAAGGUGGGGACGACGUCAAGUCAUCAUGGCCCUUACGACCAGGGCUACACACGUGCUACAAUGGCCGGUACAGAGGGUUGCCAAGCCGCGAGGUGGAGCCAAUCCCGAAAAGCCGGUCGUAGUCCGGAUUGCAGUCCGCAACUCGACUGCAUGAAGUCGGAAUCGCUAGUAAUCGCAGAUCAGAAUGCUGCGGUGAAUACGUUCCCGGGCCUUGUACACACCGCCCGUCACACCAUGGGAGUGGGUUGCACCAGAAGUAGUUAGCUUAACCGCAAGGGGAGCGAUUACCACGGUGUGAUUCAUGACUGGGGUGAAGUCGGAACAAGGUA
rnacentral:rRNA from 1 species